rnacentral:rRNA from 1 species
UACGAAGGGGGGCUAGCGUUGCUCGGAAUCACUGGGCGUAAAGCGCACGUAGGCGGAUCUUUAAGUCAGGGGUGAAAUCCCAAGGCUCAACCUUGGAACUGCCUUUGAUACUGGGGAUCUCGAGUCCGGAAGAGAUUGGUGGAACUCCGAGUGUAGAGGUGAAAUUCGUAGAUAUUCGGAAGAACACCAGUGGCGAAGGCGACUUACUGGACACAUACUGACGCUGAGGUGCGAAAGCGUGGGGAGCAACAGG